rnacentral:lncRNA from 1 species
UUUUGGUGAGGUGAGGUGAUGUUCUGAUGGGGUUGGGGCGUAUGGUGGUGAUGGGUGGCGUUUUAGUUCUGGCGUCGCUGAUAUUUGGUUGAUGCUGUGUGUAGUGGUUUUCUAGGAUACUUGAUUCUCUGACCGCUUUCCAAAUCAGUUGAGAUUUGCAGGAUUCUUUUUGAGUCUCUGUUGGUGUCCAAAUCUGUUGAGAUUUGCAGGUUUCUUGUGUUUCUGGUUGACCUCUUCUGCGUCGAUGUUUCAUUGUUUUGAGGUGGNNNNNNNNNUUCUUCCGGUUGCUACCGCGUGUGUUGCCUUUGUCGUCGUCUAGAAUGUAGGGUGUCUUCGAGCUGAGACUUGUCUGUCUAUCCGUUGUCUCAUCAGCUUUUAGGCUGUAGGAGCUGUUUUUUGGAUUUUGAUGGGUCGAUCAUUUUUGAUUCGAGAUCGGGAGUUAGAGUCGAUCUAGUGGCAACUUUUGGGGCUGAGUUGGUGUCUUCUGGUGCCUUUCUAUUUUUGGGUUUAGGAGGUGAACCUCUUUUAGCUGGUGUUUGUU